CAUCCAUGUCUUUAUUUGUGACCCUACUCAUAUUCCCUUUGUUUUGUCUUUUCAAUUCAUUCUAAUUUGUCAUUUUGCUUUUCUUUCUUUCUUUCUUUUCUUUUCUUUCUUUCUUUCCUUUUUGCAUUUCUGUAAGCAAAAGCUUGGCACUGUUUGGAAUGCAUAAAAGUAGAAUAAAAGGACUAAGUACGUAAAUAUUAAUUAUAUUCUAUAAUCUUUCUUGACACUGCUGUUUAGUGCCACAGUGUCCGAGGAUUUUGACUGACAGCCUUCACAUUGCACUGCUUUUGAACCAUGACGUAUGAAUCAGGCACUAUUCAAGUUUUAUGUCUCCAGUUAAGCCUCAUGACACUUGGUUUAAAAGCAUUUCUGAACUCCUAUUUUUCAACUUCUGUUUUCCAAAUAUUUACAUGGAUCUUUAUAUUAUUUAAAUGCAAGAUAGGUCCAGCUGUCAGCAAUUGGGACAUCCAUAUCGAGAGGAAAUGAAGUAUAAAAUGAUUUACUCUAGCUCUUUGUCCAAAAGGCAAGUGAGAAACAUUUUCACAAAUAUAUGUAAUCCUCACAGCUAAUUAUGAUUUUUCUCAUUUCAAUUUUAAUUAUUUUUUUUUAAUCCACACUUUCUUUUAUCCCUCAUGGCAGUUUCAUUGUCAUUAAAAGUACUGCUCUAUUGUGUACAUCCUCUAUUCAUAUUCAUGAGGUCAAGACCAUUCAACCAUGGUAAUUGAGCGGUCUGAUUGGCUGAAUGUCCCACAGUGGUUUAAAGUGAUACUGAUGAACAAAAGGCACCAAAGCCUCUGCCAUGAUAGGAAGGAUAAUUAUGUAGGAUCUUAAAUGGGGGCUCUAAUCAUUUGACAAUGCCCAUUGGACUUGCAUAAUAUUAAUACAUUAUCUAUCAUCUCACUAUGAUUAAGUAGUAUUUAAUUAUUCUUUUUUAUGGGGAUUAUCCCCACUAAGUAUGUCUCAUAUCUACCAGCUUAGCACACCUGCUUUUCUGGAUUUUCUAGGAAGGAAUUUAUUUUUGUGUAGUAUGAAAGUCAGACAUGAACAUAUGUAAAAUUAUAAUCACCAAAUUGGUAAGACAUUUUCAAGAAUAUCCUGGAAUAUCAUGAUAGUGCUAAAUUGGAUAUAGAUUGUUUUGCUCCAGGAUGGGUAAAGUAGGGCUACCUUUUGUCUUGUGAUUCCUUUCUUUGAGUUCCAAGGAAGUUUCUUGCUUGCACUUCUUCCACUGCUCUGGAGCCAUGUAACCUCUGGCAUGACAUUUACGCUCUCUGGGUUUCUGAUUCCUAAUCUGUAAAAUGAGGGAUGUUAAGGAAAAUGGCUUGGAAGCCAUCAUUCAGCUUGAGAAUUCUGUAAUCUCAUAUAAAUGUCUAUUUUGCUUCAUUAGUGGGAUUUUUGUCCUGCAUGACAGUUUAUACAGCGGUCUUUAAAGUCAAGUCUAAACACCAUAGAAGGUGUACAAAGCCAUUUCCUAUAGUGUAGAAAGAACUCACUGGAACUUUGUUUAUAUUUAUUUUAAAGUAUCUUUAAAGACUUCCUAUUAUAUAUUUGUGUUUCAUAUUCACUAUGAUUUAUGAGUAUUUAAUAUGUGCUAGGCACUAUUCUAAGUGCUUUAAAGUUAGUAAUAUUAUUUAAUCUUUACUGCAACUCUAUGAAGUAGAUACGCUUACCAUACUCGUUUUUACUGCUGAGAAAACUUGAGACGUCAAAGUUAUGGAAAUUGCCCAAAAUAACACAAAGUUAAAAUGUUUUAAUGGCGACAACCUAGGUAUGAGUUCCAUCUCUUAACUACUCACUAUGCAAUGCUUGUACAGUUAUAGAAUCCAAAAUAAAUAAGCACGAAGUAAAUAGAUAAUGACAAUAUAGGAUGUGUAUUAGACAUACUCAAAAGUGACCCCCCAUUCCCAUGAUCCCUGCCUCCUGAUAUUCAUAGUUUUGUGCCAUCAUCUCUGCUUGAGUAUGAACAGGACUUGUGAAUUCUUUUUAAUGAACAGAAUAUGGUCAAGGUGAUAGAUUAUCACUCUCAUGAUUACCUUUGCUAACAGAUUUUCUCUGACAGAGUCUUACCUCUGAUGGCUUUGAAGAAGCAAUCUGUGAACUGCCUAUGGAGAAGUCCACAUGGCAAAGAGCUGUGGGCAGCACCUGGGAGCUGAGAGUGACUGCCAGCCAACAGCCAGUGAGAAACUGACACUGUCAGUCAUUCCUACAACCACAGAAACCUAAAUCCUGCCAAUAGUUAUAGAAGGGAAAUUACUUAACAUCAAACUUAAUGCAUGAAGAGGCAGGGGAUUCUAGGAAGACGGACGUUUCUGCAUUCUUGCUACUCUCAACUCCAUUCCAACUCAUCUGUCUCUCCUCAGCCAGUGACUCCUGAGGGCAGUGUCAGGUCAACAAUCUUUUCCCAGACGCCAGUCCCAACAAAUACGAGACUAAAUGAGCAAUAAAGAAGAAGAGGUAGUGAUCUUACUCAAGGACACAACUAUGUUGAAGCUGUUCACUGCAGAGUUUUUCUCUCAGAGCAAGAUAUAUCAAAAAUGACUAGUAGCUUGUAUAUCUAACAAUAGAGAAAUGCUUAGUGUUCAGUGAGCAUUUGACAAAUGAAAAUAGAGAUGAAAGAAAUAGUGGCUUCUAAAUUUAGGAAUGAUUGCUUUUGAUGUAGACAUUUCAGCUAGUGCCUCUGUACUCUGAAAAAUACCUGGAAAGGACACACCAGAAAGAAGAAGCCACUGAACAGGAAAAGGCCAUGAGAGAUGAGAAGAUGAUCAAUGGAAGAGGAUAUAGGAUGAAGAUACACAAGUUCGGGUGGGGAGGAGAUGAAGAAAAAGAAGAGGAUAAUUGGAAGGAAAUAUCUUUCUCUACCCCUGACCAAAUUGACUGGUUUGAGUUUGUUGCCUGAUGUAAGCAGCAUCAAUGGGCCCAAGGCUGUGGUACAUAAAGCCCACAAACUAUGUGGAUCACGGUAUUCAUCCAGAUUGGAGAAGAAUAAGGCUGCCAUUUUAGGCCAAAAGGGAGGAGAAUAAGAUAGAGUAUUUUUCGGUAGCCAGGCUGGAGUACAGUGGCGCGAUCUCGGCUCACUGCAACCUCUGCCUCCUGGGUUUAAGCGAUUCCCCUGCCUCAGCCUCCCAAGUACCUGGGACUACAGGUGGGUGCCACCACACCCAGCUAGUUUUUUGUAUUUUAGUAGAGAUGGGAUUUCACCAUGUUAGCCAGGAUGGUCUCGAUCUCCUGACAUCGUGAUCCACCCACCUUGGCCUUCAAAAGUGCUGGGAUUACAGGCAUGAGCCACUGUGCCUGGCCCUUUAAUGUUAAAUUUUUUAGGUAAAUCAUCAGCUAUUUGGAGAAAAAUAAUAAAGUUUAAUCUUGAACU